GGGCCGCACGCGCGCUACACUGACGGAGCCAGCGAGUAAUAACCUUGGCCGAGAGGUCUGGGUAAUCUUGUGAAACUCCGUCGUGCUGGGGAUAGAGCAUUGCAAUUAUUGCUCUUCAACGAGGAAUUCCUAGUAAGCGCAAGUCAUCAGCUUGCGUUGAUUACGUCCC
rnacentral:rRNA from 5 species